AAGACAUGGAUUCUGCAACAAUAAAACCAACCGAUAAAGCAGAGGCCGAUGUCAUCAUUUUACAAGAAUACCAGUCUGUAGAAUGGGGAGGUGAAGCAGAUAAGUCUAAUCAGGAGGUGCCAAAAAGAGAAACUCACCACCCCAUGAAAAAAACUGAAGCACUGGCUGAAUGCAGCACGACUUGACAAGAAAAAAAGUACACACCUGGCCUAGACGGCACGACCUUGGACAUGGGGAGUCUAGACUUUAAGAACAUUUGUUAAGUCUAUUUGCAUGGCGGUACAAAUAGGUUGUGAUUUUAUUUUAUAUUAACUUGACA